UACGAAGGGGGCUAGCGUUGCUACGGAAUCACUGGGCGUAAAGCGCACGUUAGGCGGAUCUUUAAGUCAACGGGGUGAAAUCCCAAGGCUACAACCUUGGAACUGCCUUUGAUACUGGGGGAUCUCGAGUCCGGAAGAGGUGGAGUGGAACUGCGAGUGUAGAGGUGAAAAUUCGUAGAUAUUAGGAAGAACACCAGUGG
rnacentral:rRNA from 1 species